GAGGCGCGAUAAACAAUCUGGAGAAAACAAUGGGACCAUCAGACUACCCGAAGGAUGCAAGUUCAAGUCCACCCAGGGGGCCUUGGAAGAACGGCCUAGAGAUCAACUUGUGGAAAUCUCAGCUACUGGAGACCUAUGCCACAGAGGAAGUCACCAUGAGUCAGAGGGAUGCUGCAGCAACUGAUUUUUCGAUAGUACCAUGUGUGUGUAGUAAUACUUCACCAACUUAACUACGUAGGGCCUAUAUUUAUGAGGGGGAAGGAUUUUUCUUCAUACAAUUUACAGUACAUCCAGGAUAUUGGAAUAUAAUUAUCAAAUGCCGAUGCCCUUAAACUUUAAAAUAGCCUAACUAAGCUUACAGUCUCUUCGAGUAGCAUUUGACACAAUAACCACAACAAUGGGCUUAGCAUACCAAUAUAAAGAUGACACAGAACUGGGAAACAUUUCAUUCUGCUUCACAUAAGAUUGUCAUGAAGCAGAAAUGACCUUAACAACAAAUAUAGACUGAUAAAUAUUCUUUGGUUUAUUAAAUGAGAUCAGAUUUUUUCACUGUUCAAUUGUACAAUUUUCUAAUUUAAUGUGGAAAUUGCCACUUUCUUUUAAAUGGUAUAUAAUAAUACAUGAGUUCUGGUAUGAAUACCAUGCCAUAGAUAUAGCAAAAUUUAUUCAGCCAUUCUCCCACUAAUGGGCAAUCAUUUUUUCCAAUUAUUCUAUUUCUAAAAAUAUAUUGCAAUAAAAAUGCUUGUGAAGAAAUAUUUA